UAAGAAAUAGUAUAUAAAGGAAGUACUAAGAAUUUUGAUUUCUUAAGAACAAGUUCAAACCUUGUUUUCUUAA
rnacentral:tRNA from 1 species